UAAAGAGAAGCUAGUGAUGUGGGGGUUCUCUCAUAACCCUCAGUCCCCAGGUGGGUAGAUGGCAGGUUGAAUAAGGAGAAGCUAGUGAUGUGGGGGUUCUCUCAUAACCCUCAGUCCCCAGGUGGGUAGAUGGCAGGUUGAAUAAAGAGAAGCUAGUGAUGUGGGGGUUCUCUCAUAACCCUCAGUCCCCAGGUGGGUAGAUGGCAGGUUGAAUAAAGAGAAGCUAGUGAUGUGGGGGUUCUCUCAUAACCCUCAGUCCCCAGGUGGGUAGAUGGCAGGUUGAAUAAAGAGAAGCUAGUGAUGUGGGGGUUCUCUCAUAAC
ensembl:lncRNA